UACGUAGGGGGCUAGCGUUGUCCGGAUUUAUUGGGCGUAAAGAGCGUGUAGGCGGCCAUGUAGGUCCGGUGUGAAAACUCGAGGCUCAACCUCGAGAUGUCGGCGGAAACCAUUUGGCUAGAGUCCGGAAGAGGAAAGUGGAAUUCCUGGUGUAGCGGUGAAAUGCGCAGAUAUCAGGAAGAACACCCGUGGCGAAGGCGGCUUUCUGGGACGGUACUGACGCUGAGACGCGAAAGCGUGGGGAGCGAACAGG
rnacentral:rRNA from 1 species